GUCGGGAUAGUUUUAUCAACGUUAGGCCGUGACCCUAAAAAUAGAGGUCACACCCUCUUCCAGGCA
rnacentral:tRNA from 1 species